UUAAUUCGACGCAACGCGCAGAGCCUUACCAGGCCUUGACAUCCUACGCUGCCUCGAGAGAUCGAGGGUUCCCUUCGGGGACGUAGAGACAGGUGCUGCAUGGCUGUCGUCAGCUCGUGUCGUGAGAUGUUGGGUUAAGUCCCGCAACGAGCGCAACCCUCGCCUUUAGUUGCCAUCAUUCAGUUGGGCACUCUAGAGGGACUGCCGGUGACAAGCCGGAGGAAGGUGGGGAUGACGUCAAGUCCUCAUGGCCCUUACGGCCUGGGCUACACACGUGCUACAAUGGCGGUGACAGAGAGCUGCGACCUGGCAACAGGUAGCCAAUCUCUAAAAGCCGUCUCAGUUCAGAUUGCACUCUGCAACUCGGGUGCAUGAAGGUGGAAUCGCUAGUAAUCGCAGAACAGCAGGCUGCGGUGAAUACGUUCCCGGGCCUUGUACACACCGCCCGUCACAUCAUGGGAGUUGGUUUUGCCUUAAGACGGUGCGCUAACCUAGCAAUAGGAGGCAGCCGGCCACGGUAAGGUCAGCGACUGGGAUGAAGUCGUACAAGGUAGC
rnacentral:rRNA from 1 species